ACUGGUACAUAGUGUCGGGUGGAGUUUCCUGAUUGUGGCAGGAGUGGCCAAGGCCUGAUGGGUCCUCUCUGCAGUGGUUGGGAGUCAGUCCUCCAGGCCCACUUGGAGCCUCCUCUGCUGCCUUGCCCGGAUUGGUAGGCACCAGUUAAACCCUCAAUGGGGGACUGAGUUUUGAUCACUGAAUGGGAGUCGACCUUCUGAUUGAGCUACAUUUGAAGACUCAAGGUGAGGUAGGUGGUAUCUCCCUCUUCAGCAGAUGAGGAACCGAACGCACUGGAAAUUUAAAUGAUUUGCC